CCCUGGUUACCUCAGCCGGUGGAGCGCUCCACUGGAAAUGGAGAGGUCCCGGGUUCGAUACCCGGACCAGGCG
rnacentral:tRNA from 1 species